GGGCUAUAUCAUGUUGAAACGCCGGUUACCGUACGAUCACUGAAGUUAAGCAACGUCGAGGCUGGUUAGUACCUACAUGGGAGCCGCUUAGGAAUACCAGGUGCUGUAA